AGCAAGCCAGUGCUCUUAACCUCUGAGCCCAUCCCUCCAGUCCCUAGCCUGUUCUGUCAGGGUUUCUCCUCUCAAGUCACCUCUCGAAGAGUCUCUUCCCAUUUCUGGAUGCCGUGAGACACCCUCCUCUACAGCCAUCUCCAUCCGCAGACCCUGCUGCUUUCCAGAGAGGAAGGAGGACAUUGCAGUGCCCAACAACACUCUCCAGGAGGACAUUGCAGUGCCCAACAACACUCUCCGGAAGGACACUGCAGUGCCCAACAACAUUCUCCUCCAGGAGGACAUUGCAGUGCCCAACAACACUCUCCGGGAGGACACUGCCGUGCCCAACAACAUUCUGUUGUGAAUGAUGCUUCUUUGUCUUUCUUAUCUUAGUGAUUCUGGACUCAUG